UACGUGGGGUGCAAGCGUUAUCCGGAUUUACUGGGCGUAAAGCGUUCUGUCGGUGUUUUGGUAAGUCUAUUGUUCAAGCCCCGGGCCCAACUCGGGAAAAGCAAUGGAAACUACCAGAAUUGAGUCUGUUCGGGGAAGCUGGAAUUCUCAGUGGAGGGGUGAAAUCCGUAGAUAUUGAGAGGAACACCAUACGCGAAGGCAGGCUUCUAGGACACGACUGACACUCAGAGACGACAGCUUGGGUAGCAAAAGGG
rnacentral:rRNA from 1 species